rnacentral:rRNA from 1 species
UGAGCAACCUGCCCCUGACUCUGGGAUAACCCCGGGAAACCGGAGCUAAUACCGGAUACGACACGCGAAGGCAUCUUCUGCGUGUAGAAAGAUUUAUCGGUCAGGGAUGGGCUCGCGGCCUAUCAGCUUGUUGGUGGGGUAACGCCCACCAAGGCGACGACGGGUAGCCGGCCUGAGAGGGCGACCGGCCACACUGGGACUGAGACACGGCCCAGACUCCUACGGGAGGCA